CCCCGUUUUGCUGCUCACUAGCUACAUGAUCUUGGGCAAGUUAUUUAAGCUCUCUGAGCUUCAGUUUCUUCCUCUGCAGAAUGGGGAUGAAAGUGGACUACUACCUCAUGGCAUGUUUUGAGGAUGAAAUGAGCUAAUAAACACAGUCUUCAGCCCUACAUUAGGAUGGCCUAAGGAAAACAAGAAGACUGAAUGAUAUUCCCUGGUUCUCACUCUGUCAUCCAAGCUAGAGUGCAGUGGGGUAAAACACGGCUCACUGCAGCCUCGAUCUCUUGGCUCAAGCUAUCCUCCUGCCUCAGCCUCCUGUUU
rnacentral:lncRNA from 1 species